GUUCGCCGACUUUAAGCAGUAGAAGAAGAAACUGGGCUCUGCAAAUGUGCGAGCAUCGGCAUGGCUCCUUCUCGAGGGAAGAUAUACAGACCAAAAACUGUAAAAAACUCUGGUUUCGAUCACUGGUGAGGAGGAUAGAGUUUAGGACGAGAAGGCGGCUAAACCUCCUGUUCUAUAAUUUCAUUGUAGCUAAGCUAAUGAAUGUGAGUGUUAGCAGCUAACGUUAGCACGGACUGCUAAUGGAAACCGUGGUUAGUUCAUUAGUGCGGUUCAACCUGUUUUACAGCCCUUUAAAUCUGUGUCUAGGCAAAAGGCGCAAAGAUGAUAUUAAGAAGACCUUUGCAAUUGCUUAGUGCAGAGAAUGUUUUUAGAGAGCCCAGGUUUCCCUCUUCUGCUCCCAGUCUGCCCUCUGCUGGACUGAUGGUCACUUUACAAGGAGUUGGGCAAAAAGCUUUUCAAGCGUAGGCGAGUUCUGA